rnacentral:rRNA from 1 species
UACGUAGGGCGCGAGCGUUGUCCGGAUUUAUUGGGCGUAAAGAGCUCGUAGGCGGCUUGUCGCGUCGGACUGUGAAAACCCGUGGCUCAACCAUGUGGUCUGCAGUCGAUACGGGCAGGCUAGAAUUCGGUAGGGGAGACUGGAAUUCCUGGUGUAGCGGUGAAAAUGCGUAGAUAUCUGCAGGAACACCCGUGGCGAAAAGCGGCGCGCUGGACCACUACUGACGUGAGGAACGAAAGCUAGGGGGAGCAAAACAGG